CUACGGGAUGCACCAGUGAGGAAUAUUGCACAAUGGGGGGAACCCUGAUGCAGCAACGCCGCGUGGAGGAUGACGCAUUUCGGUGUGUAAACUCCUUUUAUAUGUCAAGAAAAUGACGGUAGCAUAUGAAUAAGCACCGGCUAACUCCGUGUCAGCAGCCGCGGUAAUACGGAGGGUGCAAGCGUUACUCGGAAUCACUGGGCGUAAAGGACGCGUAGGCGGGUUGGAAAGUCAGGUGUGAAAUCCUACAGCUUAACUGUAGAACUGCACUUGAAACUUCUAAUCUAGAGUAUGGGAGGGGGAGAUGGAAUUAGUGGUGUAGGGGUAACAUCCGUAGAUAUCACUAGGAAUACCUAAAGCGAAGGCGAUCUCCUGGAACAUUACUGACGCUAAGGCGUGAAAGCGUGGGGAGCAAACAGGAUUAGAUACCCCAGUAGUC
rnacentral:rRNA from 1 species